rnacentral:rRNA from 1 species
AUUGAACGCUGGCGGCAGGCCUCACACAUGCAAGUCGAGCGGAUGAGAGGAGCUUGCUCCUCGAUUCAGCGGCGGACGGGUGAGUAAUGCCUAGGAAUCUGCCCAGUAGUGGGGGACAACGUUUCGAAAGGAACGCUAAUACCGCAUACGUCCUACGGGAGAAAGUGGGGGAUCUUCGGACCUCACGCUAUUGGAUGAGCCUAGGUCGGAUUAGCUAGUUGGUAGGGUAAAGGCCUACCAAGGCGACGAUCCGUAACUGGUCUGAGAGGAUGAUCAGUCACACUGGAACUGAGGCACGGUCCAGACUCCUACGGGAGGCAGCAGUGGGGAAUAUUGGACAAUGGGCGCAAGCCUGAUCCAGCCAUGCCGCGUGUGUGAAGAAGGCCCUCGGGUCGUAAAGCACUUUAAGUUGGGAGGAAGGGCUUACAGCGAAUACCUGUGAGUUUUGACGUUACCGACAGAAUAAGCACCGGCUAACUUCGUGCCAGCAGCCGCCGUAA